UUUUUAAUUUUUGUUUAUUAAACUCGGACAACAAAAUAUUCAAGAGUUUUAAUUUCCUCUGGCGGGAGUUGGAAAAGCUUAGAAAAAAGCUUACUACCCGCCAAAGCAACAAAAGUCAAGUACAACAAAGGGUUGAAAGGUUUACCCCCCAAAAAUGAGGGCAUAACUCUAUUAAUGAUCCUUCCGCAGGUUCACCUACGGAAA
rnacentral:misc_RNA from 1 species